UGGGGAAUUUUGGACAAUGGGCGAAAGCCUGAUCCAGCAAUGCCGCGUGUGUGAAGAAGGCCUUCGGGUUGUAAAGCACUUUUGUCCGGAAAGAAAUCCUUGGCUCUAAUACAGUCGGGGGAUGACGGUACCGGAAGAAUAAGCACCGGCUAACUACGUGCCAGCAGCCGCGGUAAUACGUAGGGUGCAAGCGUUAAUCGGAAUUACUGGGCGUAAAGCGUGCGCAGGCGGUUUGCUAAGACCGAUGUGAAAUCCCCGGGCUCAACCUGGGAACUGCAUUGGUGACUGGCAGGCUAGAGUAUGGCAGAGGGGGGUAGAAUUCCACGUGUAGCAGUGAAAUGCGUAGAGAUGUGGAGGAAUACCGAUGGCGAAGGCAGCCCCCUGGGCCAAUACUGACGCUCAUGCACGAAAGCGUGGGGAGCAAAACAGGAUUAGAUACCCUGGUAGUCCACGCCCUAAAACGAUGUCAACUAGUUGUUGGGGAUUCAUUUCCUUAGUAACGUAGCUAACGCGUGAAGUUGACCGCCUGGGGAGUACGGUCGCAAGAUUAAAACUUAAAUGAAUUG
rnacentral:rRNA from 1 species